rnacentral:rRNA from 1 species
GAUGAACGCUGGCGGCGUGCCUAAUACAUGCAAGUCGAGCGAACAGACGAGGAGCUUGCUCCUCUGACGUUAGCGGCGGACGGGUGAGUAACACGUGGAUAACCUACCUAUAAGACUGGGAUAACUUCGGGAAACCGGAGCUAAUACCGGAUAAUAUAUUGAACCGCAUGGUUCAAUAGUGAAAGACGGUUUUGCUGUCACUUAUAGAUGGAUCCGCGCCGCAUUAGCUAGUUGGUAAGGUAACGGCUUACCAAGGCAACGAUGCGUAGCCGAACUGAGAGGGGGAUCGGCCACACUGGAACUGAGACACGGUCCAGACUCCUACGGGAGGCAGCAGUAGGGAAUCUUCCGCAAUGGGCGAAAGCCUGACGGAGCAACGCCGCGUGAGUGAUGAAGGUCUUCGGAUCGUAAAACUCUGUUAUUAGGGAAGAACAAAUGUGUAAGUAACUAUGCACGUCUUGACGGUACCUAAUCAGAAAGCCACGGCUAACUACGUG